UGGGGAAUUGUUCGCAAUGGGCGCAAGCCUGACGACGCAACGCCGCGUGGGGGAUGAAGGUCUUCGGAUUGUAAACCCCUGUUGGGUGGGACGAACAUUUCCGUGGCGAAUAUCCACGGGAGCUGACGGUACCACCUGAGGAAGCCCCGGCUAACUCUGUGCCAGCAGCCGCGGUAAUACAGAGGGGGCAAGCGUUGUUCGGAAUUACUGGGCGUAAAGGGCGCGUAGGCGGCCUGUUAAGUCGGACGUGAAAUCCCUCGGCUCAACCGGGGAACUGCGUCCGAUACUGGCGGGCUUGAAUUCGGGAGAGGGAUGUGGAAUUCCAGGUGUAGCGGUGAAAUGCGUAGAUAUCUGGAGGAACACCGGUGGCGAAGGCGGCAUCCUGGACCGACAUUGACGCUGAGGCGCGAAAGCCAGGGGAGCAAAC
rnacentral:rRNA from 1 species